AGCAGCCGCGGUAAUUCCAGCUCCAAUAGCGUAUAUUAAAGUUGUUGCAGUUAAAAAGCUCGUAGUUGAAUUUCGGGAUCAAUAUUUCGGUCGUGCCGUUGGUAUGCACUGUUAUCAUUGAUUUCUCACCUUCUAAAGAACCGUAAUGCCAUUAAUUUGGUGUUACGGGGAAUUAGGACUGUUACCUUGAAAAAAUUAGAGUGUUUAAAGCAGGCUCACGCUUGAAUACAUUAGCAUGGAAUAAUGAAAUAGGACAUCCGAUUCUAUUUUGUUGGUUUCUAGGAUCGAUGUAAUGAUUAAUAGGGAUAGUUGGGGGCAUUAGUAUUCAAUUGUCAGAGGUGAAAUUCUUGGAUUUAUUGAAGACUAACUACUGCGAAAGCAUUUUGCCAAGGAUGUUUUCAUUAAUCAAGAACGAAAGUUAGGGGAUCGAAGACGAUCAGAUACCGUCGUAGUCUUAACCAUAAACUAUGCCGACUAGGGAUCGGAUGAUGUUAAUUUUUUAAUGACUCA
rnacentral:rRNA from 1 species